rnacentral:rRNA from 1 species
GACGAACGCUGGCGGCGUGCUUAACACAUGCAAGUCGAACGGUGAAGCGCCUUCCUUUUUGGUGGGUGUGGUUGAGUGGCGAACGGGUGAGUAACACGUGAGUAACCUGCCCCCUUCUACAGGUUAACCGCAUGAAAGUGUAGCUAAUACAGGAUCUCCUGGUUCUGUCUGAUGAUGGGUCUGUGACAGCUAUUGUUUCGGUGGGGGCUGGGCUCGCGGUGUAUCAGCUUGUUGGUGGGGUGAUGGCCUACCAAGGCGGUGACGGGUAGCCGGCCUGGGAGGGUGGCCGGUCUGAGUGGGUGAGAGACACGGCCGAGACUGAGACGGGGGGCAGAAGUGGGGGGUAGUGAACAAUGGGCGAAAGCCUGAUGCAGCGACGACGCGGGAGGGAUGGAGGCGUGCGGGUGGUGAACGUCUUUCGCCAGUGAAGCAGGCCUGCCUCGUAUGUGGGUGGGUUGACGGUAGUUGGAGAAGAAGCGCCGGCUAACUACGUG